UACGUAGGGUGCAAGCGUUAAUCGGAAUUACUGGGCGUAAAGCGUGCGCAGGCGGCUUUGCAAGUCGAGUGUGAAAUCCCCAGGCUUAACCUGGGAACUGCAUUCGAGACUGCAUAGCUAGAGUAUGGGAGAGGGAAGUGGAAUUUCAGGUGUAGCGGUGAAAUGCGUAGAUAUCUGAAGGAACAUCAGUGGCGAAAGCGACUUCCUGGACCAAUACUGACGCUCAUGUGCGAAAGCGUGGGGAGCAAACAGG
rnacentral:rRNA from 1 species